AUGUGGUCAACUCAAUCAAUAUUCGCCACUUUAAAAAUAAAAUCUCUCGAAUUGAAGAUAGUCAUGCAUGGGGUGUUGGGUGAAUUAAGGUGGAAUGAAACUAAUGUGUGUUUUUAGCCUCAGCUAGCAUGCUAGCAGUGCCGCAGACCUGUUUGAGAUCAUCACUGUCUGCACCUUGCUCUCCAUCAUGGCGCCACAUGACUGUGAUCCGACUGAAACUUCUUCUAUUAGCUGUGAUGAAACAGAUGACGAGCAGAACCUGUGGCGUACUAAUAUUCAUGUAACUACAACAACUGUGUAAAAACUGUAACUGUAAUAGCUUUCUACAUGUUGAAUAGCCCGACAAGUUAAUCGAAUCUGUAUUAGCGGGAAAAAUUAGCUGAAAAACAUGAAAAGUCCCGGUUGCUACCAACCAGUCCUAACAGUGCUAACAGUGUGUCACCGCAUUAUUUACCUAUUUAUUCAUUUAAAUGUUAUCAUCCAUUUUAAUUUUACAUUUAUAAACCCCCAGCUGUCCUGUUGAGCUAUUAACAAAUAUAUUUAAUAUGCAUGUUGUCUUUUUUUAGUUGAACAAAAGAUUUAUUAGUCGCUUUUCCUCUUUUUUUUUUUUUUUACUGAAACUAAUUAUUUCCUCAACUGGAACACAUUUUAGAUAAUCAUCUAAUCUGUUUCCCUACAGGAAUUAUUAAUGUUUCAUACUUUAAUGUGUCGCCCUGUAUGAUGACUGAAGUCUGUCUGUUUUAUAUCCGUUUAUUUAGUGCAGGUUUACGAAUAAAUUUGUGUAGCUGAUGCGAUAACAAGCGUAUGAAGCUGAAUGUUCAAGCCUGUGAAGACUGUGUAUGUUGUUUAUGAUCUGAGGGCGCACAUUGAGGAUUAGAAAAGCGAGUUUUUAGAAAUCACGUCCAUUAGUAAACUUCUCUUUUGGUUAGAAAAAUCCUGUAGUUCAAGAUCCAAGUGAGAUAAACAUGACUUUUCCUGUCCUCGGUGUGUUUACAGGCCAUCUGUCCCUGAGCUGUAGCAGCUGUCAGUGUGUCUCGAUCCUUUAGCCUUUAAUUUAAGAACAAGUUGCCAAAUUUCUUACAGUAUAUGCUAAAUGAUGCUCUGGGUUUCAUUUUUGUAAGAUUUUCCUACUUCAGGUGCUCUGCUGUAAUGGUUUCCCUCGUGCAUUUCCUAAAUAAAUAUUACCAGUCUGUCUCUUCAUGCAGCCGCUUUCUCUCAGAGUAAAUGUCGGUUAAAGUAACCCUCUGAACCUCAACCAGUUUGAGUGUCUUUUUGCCUCUGUUACUAUUCACUGUGGGUUAAUUUUUCACUGCAAUAUAAAGUCCUGCACCUCUAUGGAAACAGCGCAACCAUGAAUAGCAGUAGUAAGGACUCAGAAAUGUCUUCUUUGCAGAACAACCCAUUUAGAAUAUCUUAAAUCGCAAAGGGAGGAAAAAACAAAACUAAAGUAGAACUUCUCUGACUAUUUAAGAAAAAUGUAAAAAACCUAGACUCAGUAUGCAUUUUUUCAAGGUAUAACAGACAAAAAUGCUGACUCUACUAAAUAUAUACACUACCGUUGAAAAGUUUGGGGUCACUUAGAAAUGUCCUUAUUUCUGAAAGAAGAGAAUGUUUUUUUUCCAAUGAAGAUAACAUUAAAUUAAUCAGAAAUGCAGUCUAGACAUUGCUAAAGUGGUAAAUGACUUUUAUAGCUGGAAACGGCUGAUUUUUAAUGGAAUAUCUACAUAGUAGUACAGAGGAACAUUUCCAGCAACCAUCACUCCUGUGUUCUAAUGCUACAUUGUGUUAGCUAAUGGUGUUGAAAAGCUAACUGAUGAUUAGAAAACCCUUAUUAUGUUAGCGCAUGAAUGAAAGUGAGUUUUCAUGGAAAAUUUGAAAUUUCCUGGGUGACCCCAAACUUUUGAACAGUAGUGUAUGUCACUAUUUGAAUUUCUAAUUUGCACAUCCUGCAGUUCAACCCUUUUUGGCAAAAAAAAGUCUCAAAAUUUUGGUCAUGACUGUUGAUUGCAGGUAAGUCAAUGAUGGCGUCUCUGUCGGACGUCUGCUCUAAGUAAACUAAGUAUGUAACCUUCAAACAGACGUUAAAACUAACACGUUUGCUCAUUUAAUUAUGUUAACUAUAAAUGAAAGCAUUAAGUCAAGUUUAACCUUUAAUUACAAAUACCUCAGCACACAGUGUACUGAUUAAUGAACUGAACUAAAAAUAAAAUAAAAUAGUGGUUUAAGAAAGCACAUUAAUAAUUUUUUAAAAAAAUCCAAAUGACACCAUUUAUUGGGCAAAAACUGUAGAAACAAAAGACACGGAUUUUCAGCUUCCCUUCGGUUAACUACUCAUAUGUGCCAUUCAGCUGGGAAACCAAAUCUAAGCCUUAUAUUGUGAUAUUUAUAUAGAAUUACUUUAUUCUACUUGUCAUGUUAAAAGAUUCACCCCCCCCCAAAAAAAAAAAAUCGUGCACAAAAAUUUCUGCACAACUACGCAGUUGAGGCCAAUAGUUACAUGCCAAACAUUCAAAGACUUUUCAGCUGAAAUGCAGGCUUUGUAUGCAUAGAGCAGAGAGAAAACAAGUAUGGAAACAAAUUAAAAAGUGAAAUAUUUGUAGUAGCAGAAAUGUUAGACACGAUGACUUCAGGUUUUUUAAAAAAAUUUUGCAAAAAAUUAUCAAGGAAAUUCAAAUUUAGUUUAUUGCAAUUUACAGCAUUGUAACUGUGUCAUACUGCACAGAAGACAUUUUUGAGUUCUGUCCUUCUAGCCAUGGUUGUGCUGUUUCUAUAGAGCAGCCCUAUUCAAUUAGCGGCCCGAAAGCAACCCUCGAGUGGCCCUAAAGCAACUGCCGAGUGAUUGGGACUUGGGUCCGAGAAAAACAGAAAAACAUCUUUCAGUAACACUGACAAGUUCUUACAAAAAUUCCAACAUUAUUGCAAACAUUGAAUGCAACAUUUACCGUAACCUAGCAACUAACCCACAAUGCAUUGUGUUGAGGAGUCGCGUUUGAAAAGUUAACAUUAGCAGUUCUAUACAGGUGAAAAUAGCAGCAUGUCUUUUUCUAUCCUGAAACGACAAAUCGGCGAGGAAAACCGUCGGUUUAAUCCUGCGUGGACUGACAAGUAUUUAUUUAUUUACCACCAAGUCCGAACGCCAAACCAAUGCGUUUACUCUGCAACGAGUGCUUUGCAGCGCUGAAAGAUUAUCAUGUCCGAAGACACCACGUUGGAAAAACAUGCCGCGUUUCGGACAAACUUUCCCGAGGGAUGUCAUGAGAGAGCGGCUAUAAUUCAGAGUUUGACUGCAUCUUACAACCAGAGCUGUACUACAAUGAAGCGGACCUGUCCUGUCUGCACUGUUCCCUCUAAACUGCGCGCGUGCGCAAUUGCGCACUGCUGACACGGUCUCCGCGCACAGAAAAUCUGCGCUGCGCACAAAAAGAAAAAAAAAUCCAACCUAAAUUGUAAAUAAAAUAAACACGUAACAAUUCAUUCUGUGCUAUUUUUCAGUGUGAGUCAGUGAGUGACCGGUGACUGGCUGCUGCAGCCAAUGAUGCGAUUCACAUACGUAUUUACCAUAGACUGUAUAUAAUGGUAUUUACGCAGCUAAUCAACGUCAGGCGUCCUUAUGUGCAGCCACCUGUUCUCAUAGAUAUGAAUGAGUAGAUAGGACACGCCCCUUUGAGCUGCGUGCUACAGCAAGGCUAAGCUAGUGGGGGCAAAGUUUCAGUGCAUUCCGUUGAUGUAGACGGCGUAAAAACGGAAACAAGAAGUAUGCCGGCUCACUGUGCUGCAUACAGUUACACACUGCGUCGUACGAUUGAGACAAGGAAACUUGGAAUGACUUUUCAUAGGUUUCCCAGAGACUAUGGGUUGAGGAGGAAUUGGAAGUUUGUCGGCUUAGACCUGGUGUCAUUCCAUCAGUGUUUAACUUCCCGGCUCAUCUUGGAAGAGUACGUGCCAGAAAGACCACGACCAAGCAGCCUUGAGAUCUUAGACAGCGUCUCCCUGAGGUCCCUCUCUGUCUCCUCACACAUCCACCAACCACUGGAACACAUCUCCAAAGUUCUGCCGGGCCAGCUCAGCUUCCCCUCAGAAGAAGUGCUGCCACCUGCCAGAUGAAGGAGCCUUUUGGCAUGCCAGGAGCCCUGGCAUCGUGAUUGGACUGUACUUUGGUCUGUUCCAGUCCAGCUUCAGUUCCAGAGACGGCAGGCGGGACGAGUCAACGGAGGCCUGGUGGACGAAGGCAUGCAGCUGAGUACAAUCCAGAAAACAACAGAGGAGGAGUGCAGCAGCCCAGAGCCAGAACAAGCACAGUAGCAUCGUAUGUCUCUUAGAAAACAUCAUAGUAUAGCCUUUGGUAUGAAAAAACGCCAUCAUAUACAUCGUAUAUUGUACAAAUAACAAGUCAAAGGAAAGAGACAUACAUUGUAGAUUUGUAGUAAUUGUGGGCUGACUGAUUUACUGAUUAUCAGUAUUUUAUUUUUUUACUGAUUUACGGUAAUAAAUACAUUUAAAAAUGGCACUACUUUGGCUCUGAACCUUUAUCUACCUGUGGUCGCUCUGUCUUCUGGAGCGAUUUGAUUGGUUAUACGUAACGAAUAAAACUCCUUUAACUUAACAUCUGUAAACAAAACAAAAACGUAUCAACAAAGUUUUCUGUUAGAGUUUGUGUUCUUCUAAGUUUAACUCCAAGAUUUUAAAUACUUUCAUUUACUGCAAAUGAAUAUCUACUCCAAAUGUCUCACUAACAAUCAUUAUCAGCCUUAAAAACCCACAAAACACCCCUUUAUACUUGACGACACUUAGUACAGUCCGGUUCCCCCUUCUAUAAAUCUGCUUGGAAUCUUCCACUUCCUGUUUGUCAAAGUGGCCUUCUACCUGGACAGGUUUUGUUGGAGCUCAUGCAACAAACAUUUUGGGUAACUGCACUUUAAUAUGGAUGGAUGACACUGAAUUAGAGUCUGUUUUAAUGAGACUGAGUUAAGAUGUGUAGCUCUGUCAUUAAAUAGGAAAUUAUUUCUCAGAAUUCACAGAGAAAAGUCUGAAAUGUUUGCUAGGUUAGCGUCCCACAUGUUCUUUGGCUCAGCUAAAGCUAACUCUCUCCAACUUCUGGAUCUCUUGAGUUGCUUGUUGUUAAAAUAUCUUGCUAGAGGUGCUGAAGCUCAGAAAGUCUGAGAUGUUUGUUCAAAAUAAGCUCAUUCUCAAGUCUUAUCUGAACUGUCCUCUUUUGUUUGAACUUUCCCUAAACUUAGGAGUUAAUGACAGAGCAGCACAUCCAGACUCAGUCUCAUUUAUGUAGAGAUUAAACUUCAGUGUCAUUCAUUGAUGUUAAAGUGCAGUUUUUCAAAUGUUUGUUGCACAUGCUCCCGACCAAACCAGUCCAGGUGGAAGACGAUGUGAAGAGAAAGCUCCAGAGGAUGAAUAUCACACAUUUACGUUGGAAAUAAAUGUCCUUUAAUUAGACAUUGUCAUGCAAAAGUUGGAUUUCCCUUUAAUGAUGUUCAAAUCUUUGUUGAGUGCUUUGUUGAUGUUGGUUUCUAAAUAUUUUCUGACACUCGGCCCCGAAGAUUAAAACCUUUUACGGCUCACAAUCUGCAACAAUUCACACAUUAUCAACUAUCUUUCUGACUAAACUAAGAUAAAAAGUGAAAAACUGCCUGAUUCCUGCAUCAUGAAUGUAAAUCUUUUUGUUUUUUAUGACAGUAAACUGAAUAUAUUUGGGUUUGACAUUUUAUAAACCAAAACAAGAAAUGAAUUACUGGAGAAAACAAUCAUCAGAUUAAUGGACAAAGAAAAUGUGUUUUCCAACAUGUAUGGCUGA